rnacentral:rRNA from 1 species
UACAGAGGUGGCAAGCGUUGUUCGGAAUUACUGGGCGUAAAGCGCACGUAGGCGGAUCUUUAAGUCAGGGGUGAAAUCCCAAGGCUCAACCUUGGAACUGCCUUUGAUACUGGGGAUCUCGAGUCCGGAAGAGGUGAGUGGAACUGCGAGUGUAGAGGUGAAAUUCGUAGAUAUUCGCAAGAACACCAGUGGCGAAGGCGGCUCACUGGUCCGGUACUGACGCUGAGGUGCGAAAGCGUGGGGAGCAAACAGG